rnacentral:rRNA from 1 species
AUUGAACGCUGGCGGCAGGCCUAACACAUGCAAGUCGAACGAGUGGCGGACGGGUGAGUAAUGUCUGGGAAACUGCCUGAUGGAGGGGGAUAACUACUGGAAACGGUAGCUAAUACCGCAUACCCUCAGAUGUGCCCCGAUGGGAUUAGCUAGUUGGUGGGGUAACGGUUCACCACGGCGACGACCCCUAGCUGGUCUGAGAGGCUGACCAGCCACACUGGAACUGAGACACGGUCCAGACGCCUACGGUAGGGAGCAGUGGGGAAGAUUGGACAAUGGGCGCAAGCCUGAGGCAGACAUGCCGCGGGUAUGAAGAAGGCCUUCGGGUUGUAAAGUACUUUCAGCGGGGAGGCGUUACCCGCAGAAGAAGCACCGGCGAACUCCGUGCCAGCAGCCGCGGUAAUAC